rnacentral:sRNA from 1 species
GCUGGGUGUGGUGGCACAUACCUGUAAUCCCAGCUACUCAAGAGACUGAGGCAGGGGGAUAACAAGUUCAAGACCAGUUUGAGAAACUUAGUGAGACCCUGUCUCAA